AAAUAAUAAGUAUAAAUUAUACAUUUAGUUUCGGCCUAAAAGAGGGAGUUAAUGA
rnacentral:tRNA from 1 species